rnacentral:rRNA from 1 species
UACGAAGGGUGCAAGCGUUACUCGGAAUUACUGGGCGUAAAGCGUGCGUAGGUGGUUUGUUAAGUCUGAUGUGAAAGCCCUGGGCUCAACCUGGGAAUUGCAUUGGAUACUGGCAGGCUAGAGUGCGGUAGGAGGAUGGCGGAAUUCCCGGUGUAGCAGUGAAAUGCGUAGAGAUCGGGAGGAACAUCUGUGGCGAAGGCGGCCAUCUGGACCAGCACUGACACUGAGGCACGAAAGCGUUGGG